UGGGGAAUAUUGGACAAUGGGCGAAAGCCUGAUCCAGCCAUGCCGCGUGUGUGAAGAAGGUCUUCGGAUUGUAAAGCACUUUAAGUUGGGAGGAAGGGCUGCAAGUUAAUACCUUGUAGUUUUGACGUUACCAACAGAAUAAGCACCGGCUAACUUCGUGCCAGCAGCCGCGGUAAUACGAAGGGUGCAAGCGUUAAUCGGAAUUACUGGGCGUAAAGCGCGCGUAGGUGGUUUGGUAAGAUGGAUGUGAAAUCCCCGGGCUCAACCUGGGAACUGCAUCCAUAACUGCCUGACUAGAGUACGGUAGAGGGUGGUGGAAUUUCCUGUGUAGCGGUGAAAUGCGUAGAUAUAGGAAGGAACACCAGUGGCGAAGGCGACCACCUGGACUGAAACUGACACUGAGGUGCGAAAGCGUGGGGAGCAAACA
rnacentral:rRNA from 1 species